ensembl:lncRNA
GGGGGGGCACCACUACCAGAACAUGAGUACGAUCCAUGGGGCGGACGGGGUAGAUUUUGUCACGUGACUUAUGGUUGCUAGGGUAGAUAACGUGUAUACAGUUCAUGGGGUAUAAAUAUAUAAAUAAAUAUAUAUAUGCAUAGUGGGGGAGGGCUGCUUAAAGACGUGGGUCAUGAUGCCGGCGUCUCUGAACGCCGUCAUGGCCUCUCUCCUGGUCUGUGUUCUCUGGUGGGUCCUCCUGUGAGUGUGUAGCAGCACGGACUCCUCCCGUCUUCGACGUCCAUAAGAACCCCCACCACGCGACGCUACACAAUCGACUGUAGAUAAUGCUAACGCGCCCCAACUGCCGCGGAGGGAAAUGUUAUUAAUAACUGGAUAUUAUAGUCCUGCUUUUAAACCCCUGAAAAAUAGUAGCUUAUGCUUUUGUUACUGGUCAUGAGGAUAAAAAACAGCAACAAUGUAAAGUGUGUAAAGGAGUGUUUAAGAGAGGGAGGGAGUGUGUGUGUGUGUGUGUGUGUGUGUGUGUGUGUGUGUGUGUGUGUGUGUGUGUGUGUGUGUGUGUGUGUGUGUGUGUGUGUGUGUGUGUGUGUGUGUGUGUGUGUGUGUGUGUGUGUGUGUGUGCGUGCGUCGUUGUGCGCCUUUGUGCGCCUGUGCAAUUCUCUUUUUUUAUCUAUCUGCAGUUGAGGAAAAUAUUGAUACAGUGCGUUUGGUGUCGUGUAUUCGUUUCCACUCACCGUAACUGCGCUAGCUUUAGCUUAGCUUAGGUCCCCCGUACACUUAGCUGUGAUUCACUGGUCUGGAACUAACCCACCUCCUCCCUCCCUCCCGCUGGGUUCAGAUCCGGUUGCCAGGUCCAGAGAUGGUGUUAGGACACCCCCCCCCCUCCCCCCUUACACUUACUGGAAAGCUCGUUCUAGAAAAUAAGCGUCUGCAGAAAUAAAGAACACCUCACAAACACUAAGGAAGCCUGGUUGGUAAGACCGCCGGCGCCACGCAACCCCUCACCUUGAGGCCUUAAACCUCUCCGCCGCUGGGCUCUCAUUGGCUGAGCCCGCUCCGCUGCUGUGUGAUCAAUUGAAAUGGAUUUGCUGUGAUCCAUUGGUUUUCCUCCCUCCCAAACCCCUUCCCUCCUCAUUAUAGCCCUCUUUGCUUCGCUCUCAGGGUGUGUGUGUGUGUUGUGUGCACUAGCAUGUGUUCUUCAGUCUGGGCCCAUGUAACCGCGGCCAUCCCUAGCGGUCCUAAGGUAGACCAGAGUGUGCACACAUGUCAGUGUGACGUUUGAUCAAUGGGUCGUGCUUAAGGUUGCCAUGUCUGUGUCAGCAACCCUCUUUCCAGGUCCAUGUUUUGAUUUUUGAAUUGUUUUCCAUUCACCGUCGAUGUUAUUGGUAACGGUUGUCCCCGGGUUCCCUGAGGUAUGUCAGUCUCCUUGUAUAGGAAGUGAACAUUAAAAGGAUAUAGUCGUGUUUAUCACAAUAUUACCUUAUUAAUUCCGUGACACUGCAGCUUGGUGGAAUAUAUUAUUGUAUGUGUGGUGCAUGGAUAACUGCUGAAAAUAACAAUAAAACCAUCAAAGUA